UACAGAGGCCUCGAGCGUUAGGCGGAAUCACUGGGCUUAAAGCGUGUGUAGGUGGAUGCCUAAGUACCUUGUGAAAUCCCACAGCUUAACUGUGGAACUGCUUGGUAUACUGGGUGUCUUGAGCCACUCAGGGGCUACCGGAACAAACGGUGGAGCGGUGAAAUGCGUAGAUAUCGUUUGGAACGCCAAUGGUGAAAACAGGUAGCUGGGGGUGUGCUGACACUGAGACACGAAAGCCAGGGGAGCGAACGGG
rnacentral:rRNA from 1 species